UUCAUUCAUUUUGACUGUUAAGAUGUUUUCUUUUUUGCCGCAUUUUAAGUCCACUUGUUCUUAUUUUGUCCUACUGGUACAUUCUCAGUAUGUGGUUUUUUAUUGUGUCUUGUGUGUGUUUAUAUUGAAGAAUUUCAUGUUUCUGACUCUGCUGUAUUUGAAAACUGAUGGAGUGCCCAAGAUGAGGGAGUUUAGCAAUAAUCUUGAUGGUAUACUGUGUUGGUCACGCCCUCUCUGGCAUGAGCUGCCUGAAGCACAUUGUCAAAGAUGAAAGCUCUUUUGGGGAAAAGUGCUCUCCUGUGGAAUCAUCCCUUGUCAUAGCAUGUGGCUCUAAAUUUUCAGCCUCAUUCACAGUAGCUUGCAUUGUUGUAUUGCUUUUGGGACACCUGUGUUUUAUCUGGAAAUGUAGACAGGAAUAGCGGUUUUUUUUGUAUGUGUAUUAUAUAUUGUUUCACUGCUAAUCUUCUACACAAUUUUUUAGAAUAAAAAAGGGUAAAUAGCUUGUGCCAUUUUGCUAAUUACAUAGAUUUGACUUUUGAU
rnacentral:lncRNA from 1 species